rnacentral:misc_RNA from 1 species
GAUGAAGAACGUAGCGAAAUGCGAUACGUAAUGUGAAUUGCAGAAUUCAGUGAAUCAUCGAGUCUUUGAACGCACAUUGCGCCCCCUGGUAUUCCGGGGGGCAUGCCUGUCCGAGCGUCAUUGCUGCCCUCAAGCCCGGCUUGUGUGUUGGGUCUCGUCCCCCUUCCCGGGGGGACGGGCCCGAAAGGCAGCGGCGGCACCGCGUCCGGACCUCGAGCGUAUGGGGCUUUGUCACCCGCUCUGUAGGCCCGGCCGGCGCUUGCCGAUCAACCAAAACUUUUUUCCAGGUUGACCUCGGAUCAGGUAGGGAUACCCGCUGAACUUAAGCAUAUCAAUAAGCGGAGGA